GUGUUGGUUGAACUUGAGUUUGUGGCUUUUUUUAAGUUUAAGGUGUGGAAUUGGUUGAACUUGAGGUUGUGGCAAUUUUUAUACUUGAGUUUGUGUUUUUGUUGAACUUGAGUUUGUGUCCUUUUUGAACUUGAGUUUGUGUCGUGUUUGAACUUGAGUUUUUGUGUUAUUUGAACUUAAGUUUGUGUUGUUUUUGAAUAUGAGUUUGUGGUGUUUUUAAACUUGAGUUUGUUUCGUGUUUGAACUUGAGUUUGUGGUGUUUUUAAACUUGAGUUUGUGUGUUUGUCCAACUUGAGUUUGUAUCGUGUUUGACCUUGAGUUUGUGGUUUGUUUGAACUUGAGUUUUGUGUUUGUUGAACUUGAGGUUGUGGUGUUUUUGAACUUGAGUCUGGGUUUUUUUUACCUUGAGGUUUUGGAAAUUGUUAAACUUGAGAAUUGGGUAUUGGUUAAACUUGAGGUUUUCGUGUUUUUUAACUUGAGUUUGUGUCGUGUUUGAACUUGAGUUUGUGGUGUUUGGUGAACUUGAGUUUGCGUGUUUGGUGAACUUGAGUUCGUGUUGUUUGUUGAACUUGAGUUUCUGUUGUUUUUGAACUUAAGGUUGUGAAAAUUGUUAAACUUUAGAACUGGGUAUUGGUUGAACUUGAGGUUUUCGUGUUUUUUAACUUGAGUUUGUGUCGUGUUUGAACUUCAGUUUGUGGUGUUUGGUGAACUUGAGUUUGCGUUUUUGGUGAACUUGAGUUUGUGUUGUUUGUUGAACUUGAAUUUCUGUUGUUUUUGAACUUGAGGUUGUGGAAAUUGUUAAACUUGAGAAUCAGGUGUUGGUUGAACUUGAGUUUGUGUGUUUGUUGAACUUGAGUUUGUGUCCCGUUUGAAUUUGAGUUUGUGGUGUUUUUGAACUUGAGUUUGUUUGUUUGUUUAACUUGAGUUUCUGUUGUGUUUGAACUUGAGUUUGUUUGUUUGUUUAACUUGAGUUUCUGUUGUGUUUGAACUUGAGUUUUUGGUGUUUGUUGAACUUGAGUUUGUGUGUUUUUUGAACUUGAGGUUGUGAAAAUUUAUAAAGUUGAAAAUCAGGUGUUGGUUGAACUUGAGUUUGUGGCUUUUUUUUAAACUUGAGUUUGUGUCGUGUUUGAACUUCAGUUUUUGGUGUUUUUGAACUUAAGUCUGUCUUGUUUUUAAACUUGAGCUUGUGGAAAUUGUUAAACUUGAGAAUUGGGUAUUAGCUGAACUUGAGUUUUUGGUGUUUUUGAACUUUAGUUUGUCUCGUGUUUGAACUUGAGUUUGUUGUGUGUUUGAACUUGAGGUUGUGGUAAUUGUUAAACUUGAGGUUUUGGUGUUUUGGUUGAACUUGAGUUUGUUUGUUGAACUUGAGUUCGUGUUGUUUGUUGAACU